UACAGAGGUCUCAACCGUUGUUCGGAUUCAUUGGGCGUAAAGGGUGCGUAGGCGGUCGGGCAAGUCGGAUGUGAAAUCUCAGGGCUCAACCCUGAAACUGCAUUCGAUACUGCGCGGCUAGAGUGCUGGAGGGGAGACUGGAAUUUACGGUGUAGCAGUGAAAUGCGUAGAUAUCGUAAGGAAGACCAGUGGCGAAGGCGAGUCUCUGGACAGCAACUGACGCUGAGGCACGAAGGCCAGGGGAGCAAACGGG
rnacentral:rRNA from 1 species